rnacentral:rRNA from 1 species
AGCAGCCGCGGUAAUUCCAGCUCCAAUAGCGUAUAUUAAAGUUGUUGCAGUUAAAAAGCUCGUAGUUGAAUUUCGGGAUCAAGUUGUUGGUCGUGCCUCGGUACGUACUGGUGACAUUGGUUUCUCCCUUCUGAAGAACCUUGAUGUCAUUAAUUUGGUGUCUUGGGGAAUCAGGACUGUUACUUUGAAAAAAUUAGAGUGUUUAAAGCAGGCUCACGCUUGAAUACAUUAGCAUGGAAUAAUGAAAUAGGACGUUUGAUUCUAUUUUGUUGGUUUCUAGGAUCGACGUAAUGAUUAAUAGGGAUAGUUGGGGGCAUUAGUAUUCAAUUGUCAGGGGUGAAAUUCUUGGAUUUAUUGAAGACUAACUACUGCGAAAGCAUUUGCCAAGGAUGUUUUCAUUAAUCAAGAACGAAAGUUAGGGGAUCGAAGACGAUCAGAUACCGUCGUAGUCUUAACCAUAAACUAUGCCGACUAGGGAUCGGAUGAUGUUAAUUUUUUAAUGACUCAUUCGGCGCCUUAC